rnacentral:rRNA from 1 species
CCUACGGGUGGCAGCAGUGAGGAAGAGUGGUCAAGGGGCGCGAGCCUGAACCAGCCAAGUAGCGUGAAGGAUGACGGCCCUACGGGAUGUAAACUUCUGUUAUAAAGGAAUAAAGUGAGGCACGUGGGCCGUUUUGUAUGUACUUUAUGAAUAAGGAUCGGCUAACUCCGUGCCAGCAGCCGCGGUAAUACGGAGGAUCCGAGCGUUAUCCGGAUUUAUUGGGUUUAUAGGGAGCGUAGAGGGGUUGUUAAGUCAGUUGUGAAAGUUUGCGGCUCAACCGUACAAUGGCCAUUGAUACUGGCAGUCUUGAGUACAGUUGCGGUCUGCGUAAUUCGUGUUGUAGCG